UACGGGGGGGGCAAGCGUUGUUCGGAAUUACUGGGCGUAAAGGGCUCGUAGGCGGCCAACUAAGUCAGACGUGAAAUCCCCAGGCUCAACCUGGGAACUACGUCUGAUACUGGAUGGCUUGAAUCCGGGAGAGGGAUGCAGAAUUCCAGGUGUAGCGGUGAAAUGCGUAGAUAUCUGGAGGAAUACCGGUGGCGAAGGCGGCCUUCUGGACAGUGACUGACGCUGAGACGCGAAAGCGUGGGGAGCAAACAGG
rnacentral:rRNA from 1 species